rnacentral:rRNA from 1 species
UACAGAGGUCUCAAGCGUUGUUCGGAUUCACUGGGCGUAGAGGGUGCGCAGGCGGCCAGAUGUGUGAGGCGUGAAAGCCCGGGGCUUAACCCCGGAAUUGCACCUCAAACUAUUUGGCUAGAGCAUUGGAGAGGGAAGCGGAAUUCACGGUGUAGCAGUGAAAUGCGUAGAUAUCGUGAGGAACACCAGAGGCGAAGGCGGCUUCCUGGACAAUUGCUGACGCUCAGGCACGAAAGCGUGGGGAGCAAAAGGG